UUGCUACCUAAAUUCCUCUGAAAGCAAUGGAUAUUUUCAGAACUGAGGUUCCCACUGGAUGUGCCCUGCACUGCUGGAGUUACUGGCCUGUUGGGCUUGACUCAACAGGCAGGACUCAUCUAUUUCUCCUUAAGCAAAUAGAGGGUGAGGGAUGCUGAAGCCAGUAAAUCCAACUAAUUAGCUGUAUAAAUGAAAGCUGGGGAGCAGGCACUGAGCUGCAGCCCGUGCCUGGCUCGUGGUUAGAGGCACCACAGAUCUGCAUUGCCGCCUGCCUGAGCGCCCGGAGCUGAACACAGAAUUUCCUGCUAAAUUGUGAUCAUUUGACAUGGAAAAUUGUCUCAGGUGUAUCUGUUGGGAACAGGGUUGUGCUGUUAACAGCCUGGUCUGCUGGGUGGGCUCUGCAGCGGCAGGGAUUUGUCCUGCUGGAGCUUUGGGAAACAUCACAGCCAGGGUCCAGAAAAUCACCACUGGCACCAGAAAGGCAAAAUGGGUUCUGUGCUCCAUAGCAGGCCUUGGAGCUGGGCACCAGUAUGGGUUAAAUCCAUGUGAUAUUAGAGCUCUGCCACUAAAUUGUUUCUCCAUUUAUUAAUUUCAGCACCAGCCACCUGGGAAACAGGCCCAAGCUGCUGUUGUCAUUUAUUUGCCUCUUAAUAGGUGAAGUUGCAAAGAGUGGCUGAGUUCUGCACAGGACUAAAGCCUUUGGGAUGCUGGAAGUGGAUACUGGGGAUGAUCCUUGUUUUCCCAAUACUUCAGGAUUUUGCUGGAGUUUUAAGAAGGGUGAAAUUAUUGAUAAAUUAUUGAGCAAAGUCUCUGGACUCCCCUCAAAACAGUGGCAAUUAAACUGAGCAGAAGCUAAUGGGAGCAAGUUGCCAGCCAGUGCUCACUUCCUGAUAUCCUACAGAACCAGCUUCCAUAUAAACAUGGGUUUAUGCUAAACUGAAAAUGAAUUGGACUGAAAACCACGAGAACAGAGCUCAAUUCUGUUUGGAAGAAGCAAAAGUAUCCUGCUCCCAUCCCUGAGCCCUGCCACGGGUGGGCUGAAAGGGAACAAGGAAGGCAAAUGGACUGAAUUCACAUUUUAACCAUCUCAUUACAAAAGGAGCCAGAAAAUACGUGGUGUGGCAGAAGAAACAGGAGUAGAAAAUUUCAGGGAAAACUUCCUAAAUGUGAGGCCUUUUAAAAUGCAUUAAAGCCUCCAAAGAAAAACACUUCAUUGCCUUAGGUACAGCAAACCAGCCUGGAGAAUGUGGGAGGAGCAGUCCCAAGGUGGCUCAGGGGUGCAGUAGGAACCACAAUUCUCUGUAUUUUGCUGGACACAUAAACCCCAAACUAAAUUUUUCCUUUUCUAAAGAGAUUUGAUAGUAGAUCUAAUUUUUUCUCACUCAGUUAUCCCACUGAGGUUACUUUUGGAUUUUGAACAAAUUUCCCUGCAGGCAGCAGCUCUCCCCUGCUCUGGAGUUUAUUGCUUGCUGUGCAGAGGUGGGUGUAUGUGGCAGUCUCCUCCUGGAGAGCAGUUACUAAUAGAUUACUAUUAAUC